rnacentral:lncRNA from 1 species
CAAACUCAUCAAAAUUAUUCGAAGAAUAUUUAAAUGGAGGUUGAGAGAAAGUUUGUCGUGGGAAUUUUUCCUUGCUACUUUUCCUUUGAAGACCAAACAUCAUAACCUGAAAAUCUCAACACAAAAGUUAGAAAAUAAAACCUCACACUCUCAAGUGUUUAAUCUCACCCACUCAAGUGUGUCUCUCAGAUUUUAUGGUAAUCAC